GACGAACGCUGGCGGCGUGCUUAACACAUGCAAGUCGAACGGAAAGGCCCUGCUUUUGUGGGGUGCUCGAGUGGCGAACGGGUGAGUAACACGUGAGUAACCUGCCCUUGACUUUGGGAUAACUUCAGGAAACUGGGGCUAAUACCGGAUAGGAGCUCCUGCUGCAUGGUGGGGGUUGGAAAGUUUCGGCGGUUGGGGAUGGACUCGCGGCUUAUCAGCUUGUUGGUGGGGUAGUGGCUUACCAAGGCUUUGACGGGUAGCCGGCCUGAGAGGGUGACCGGCCACAUGGGGACUGAGAUACGGCCCAGAAUCCUACGGGAGGCAGCAGUGGGGAAUAUUGCACAAUGGGCGGAAGCCUGAUGCAGCAACGCCGCGUGCGGGAUGACGGCCUUCGGGUUGUAAACCGCUUUCGCCUGUGACGAAGCGUGAGUGACGGUAAUGGGUAAAGAAGCACCGGCUAACUACGUG
rnacentral:rRNA from 1 species